rnacentral:rRNA from 1 species
AGUUAUUCUGCCCAUUGAAUUUAAAAGGCUGCAGUAUAUUGACUGUACAAAGGUAGCAAAAUCAAUAGUUUUUUAAUUGAAAACUUGUAUGAAUGAAUUGAUAAAAUAUAAACUGUCUCAAAAUUUUAAAUUAAAUUUAAAGUUAAAAUGCUUAGAUAGAUUUAUUAGACGAUAAGACCCUAAGAAUUUAAAAUUAUUAAUUUAUAUAAAUUUAAUUAAAUAAUUGAUUUUUUAUUGGGAGGGUAAUUAAAUAAAACUUUAAUUAAUAAAAACAUUGAUUAAUGAAUAUAAUGAUAAUUAUAAUAAUUAUAAGAAAUAAUUACCUUAGGGAUAACAGCGUAAUAAUUUUGGAUAGUUCAUAUUAAUAAAAUUGUUUGCGACCUCGAUGUUGAAUUAAAAUAAAAAUUAGGUGAAGAAGCUUAAAUUUUUAGUCUGUUCGACUAUUAAAAUUUUAC